rnacentral:lncRNA from 1 species
UCAUCUUCGAGCUGGGCGGCAUUCCCGAGCGUGAGCUGGACAAGCUGAAGGAGGAGGCCGCCCGCCUGGGCAAGUCCUCCUUCGCCUUCGCCUUCUACAUGGACACCCAGAAGGAGGAGCGCGCCCGUGGUGUGACCAUCGCCUGCACCACCAAGGAGUUCUUCACCGAGAAGUACCACUACACCAUCAUCGAUGCACCAGGUCCGUCAUGGUUUGGGGAGGGGGGUGGGGGGUGCCAGCUCCUGCAUUCGUGGGUCUAUCAGCCCCUUGCCGCCUACAGGCAUGCUCUCUCAACAGUGUCGAAACCCAUCGUUUCUGCAUCAGGGGAGUAUUUCCGCGCGCCUCGCUGUCUCCUUGGUGCAGCUUGCAUGCACUGAGCCCUUUCUCUGCCCACCCCCCCUUCGAUUUCGCGUGCAGGCCACAGGGAUUUCAUCAAGAACAUGAUUUCCGGCGCGGCCCAGGCCGAUGUGUGCUUGCUCAUGGUGCCCGCCGACGGUAACUUCACCACCUCCAUCCAGAAGGGUGACCACAAGGCCGGCGAGGUGCAGGGCCAGACCCGCCAACACGCCCGCCUCAUCAACCUGCUGGGUGUGAAGCAGCUGGUCGUUGGCGUGAACAAGAUGGACUGCGAUACUGCUGGCUACAAGGUGGGCAAGGGGCACACUUUUUCUACAUCAUGCACGCAUGUGAUGAGGCCUCAGGGUGGGGCCUCUCUUCACUAGUAUAGAGAAUUGGUAUCCUCUGAUGCACAUGCACUGCAGUGCUGCCUGAAGGUAGAAGUUUGCCAGGGUAAUGUGGCACACCUGUCCUGCACCAUGCAUGUGUUGAGGCCUCCAGGGUGGGGCAAUGACUGCAUGUGUACAGAGACUCAUGUUUAGAGACCCCCUGGUCCCCUCUUAUGCAAAUGCGCCUGAAAUGUACUCAAAUGCAGGAGUUGCCCCUGCAAUGCAGCAUUAUAGUAUGUCCGGAAGCCCAGCUGCCCUUGUCUCUUAACUAAGUGCCACAAGGAUUCAAUGUUGGUGUCUUGCAUGCACAUUUGAGCCCUGCUUCCUGAAUCAAGGUUUCACUGGUGAGAGAAGGUCUGAAUAUGAAGCAGACAGAUGUUGUUCACCACCUGGCUUGCUUUCUCGAAGGGGCCUUUUGCAGCCCAGGAUUCUACCAGGAUGAACCCACAAGGUUCCUGCUUCAAAAAGCUUGUUUCCCACGAUCAGUAGAGACUAGUAGUGAGAACAGACUGCACGCGCUUAUCAGAAGUUAGAUAAUCUGAGGUUGCACUUUCGGAAUGGACACUUGAUAGCCCUGGAUUCUACCAAGAUUUUAAGAUGCCCACAAGUUCACUGUAAAGCACGUGCUCGUAUGUGGGGUCCUUAGUUUUGGUGAUGUCUUUGUGCACUUUCAGCCCACUUGGAAUGCAGGCUUCAAUGAUGAGACCUUGUGUCUGAAAAGAUGCAUGUUGUUCAGGUGGUUUCUACCUAGCUCGCUUCUGGAGCGGGUUCUCAGUAACCUUAGAUUUACUAGAACAAUCCACAGUUUGUGUAAGCGAAGUACUGCCAGUGCAUAGUCUACUAAGGAGAAUAACCCUAUAUUCUGAGGAAGCAAUUUUCUGAGUAUGAGGUGUCAGUCCUAGGAAAGACGUGGACAGUACAGGUAAAUGAGUGUACAGCGUUCAGGUUGCAAUUUUUCAGGAUAUGUUCAAGUGCUUUCUCUGGUCAUGCGUAUGAGGAACAUUUUCAUUGCUUGGGUUAUCUCAUGCCCCUCCCAAAGCCAUAUACCCUGAAAGCCUAAAUUUUUAUGUGAUGCUUUCACAGGAGGAGCGUUACAAGGAGAUUGCAGAUGAGAUGCACCACACCCUGUCCAAGGUGGGCUGGAAGCCUGCCUUCCUUCAGGAGAGCGUGCCCAUCAUCCCCAUCUCUGGCUGGAUGGGUGACAACCUGAUCAAGAAGUCCGAGAAGAUGACCUGGUGGAAGGGCAAGGACUGCAAGAACCUUGGUGAGUUCAGCUUCCCUUCCUCACUUUGAUGUUCGCAUGUGCAACAUAGUUGCAUACAUGCUUGCAGGAGACGGCACAGUCCAAGAAGCUCUUGCUGCACAGAUGUUAGACUUCACUGAUGGUCUCGUGAAUUGGCACUUGUUUUGCAGUUUUGAAAUCUGUCAUUUUAACAUUUACAGGAAUCUGAAAUUAUCAUAUUUGCUGCCUAAACUUGGCACAUAGGUUUGCAUGCCCAUCACAGUUGCAUGUCUGCACAAAAGAGGUGGCACAUUUGUACAAGCGUUUGGAGCACAGGUAAUGGUCUUCAAGGAAAGGUGAUAUCACUCUUUUUGCAAUUUUAAGCCUGAGUAAACUUUUGACAGACGCAUAGGACAGUGACAUGUCACUUGCAGCGGAUAUUCUGCUUGCAUGACUUCCGCAUUUCCUGUUGGUGAUUCUGGGCUCGUUUCUGGCUGCUUGUAUUUUUGCUGUCCCUGCCUUAUGUCUCUCUUGAAGCAUCAACUUAUCUUUUUCUUGCAUGGCUUGAUUCUCAUUUGUAAAAUUAGAUGCCUGUGCAGGAAGUGCAGCUUGCUUGAGAUUGGCCUGAAACAUGCUUUCUUCGUUCUCAUGUGCCUCUGCAGCUGGUCAGGUCAUCCAUGUGGACACCCUGCUGCAUGCCUUGAACGACAUGGCUGUGGUGCCUGAGCGCAAGACCGACUGCGCCAUGCGCCUGCCCAUCUCUGGCGCCUACAAGAUCAAGGGUGUGGGUGAUGUGCUGGCUGGUCGCGUGGAGCAGGGCGAGGUCAAGCCUGGUGAUGAGGUGGUGUUCAUGCCCACCCACACUCCCGCCAACCCCUGUGUCGGCAAGGUGUUCACCGUGGAGAUGCACCACAAGCGUGUCGACAAGGCUGGCCCUGGUGACAAUGUGGGCAUGAACAUCAAGGGUCUGGACAAGGGCAACAUGCCCCGCACUGGUAAGUGGCUGGAAGCAGCCUGUGUGUUAUCUUCUCCGAGAGAAGAGCCCUCCUGACGGUUGAAAAGUUUCAGAAGUUCAGAUUGAGGUGACUGCACGCCUUCAUUGUGGUGGAUAGGACUCUGGUUUGUAGCAGGACUAAACUGAGCCUGGCUGUCAUGCAUUCAUUCCUGCUCAUUCCGCCUUGGAGUGUUCAGUGAGUUUGUUGCCUGCCUGUACUUGUGUGGUGAAUAAGACCAGACUGAGCUUAUUGCAAGGCUAAUAGAGCAUGGCUGCAUGUCACGUGUCGCGUACUUAUCGCUCUGGCUGAAUGUGGACAGGAAGAAUGAUGAGCAGCUGGUAGGCAUGCUCUCUGAACACAAAUCAUGACGCCUCUGUCCUCUACCGUAGCGACACUAAUGUAUUAUGACACCGAUUUAUUACGAGGUCCCAAAAUAAUUUCAUUAAUUACUUUGCGAGCAUUAAGGGUUUACGAGGUCCGCCCAAACAAGUCAAAGUUUGCGAACCCCUGCGCUUUUGCGUCUCCAACAUGGGCUCUUUGUCUCUACUCGCCUCUUCCACCUCUUCAUCUGAGGAUUCCGUGGUGACCUCGGACCCCUUCAUUGGUUCCUGGAACUUCCAGUGGAAGCCCUUCCUCGCCCUCUGCACCUCUUGCCCUUGCUCUGGCCCCUGCCCCUGCCCCUGCCUGUCCCCUCGCCCUGAGCAGUGGGGUCCAUAAAGUCCUGAAUGAUAUCUGCAAGCCCCUCCAAGCACGCUUCCCCUGCCUGCUUCCUCCACACCUGCAGCGGCCUUGGCCACAUCUUGCAUGCUUGGCAGCUCCCAUGUCAAACAGGGUUCUUUGUCCCUAGGGACAUGAGGCUGCAUUGUGCAGCUUUACUAAUUGAUUAAUACAAACCCGCAUCUUUUACGAGCCCUUGAAAAAAGUAAUUUUAAAAGUCCAUCCAUAUUACGAGAUGCCUCAAUAAUUAUUUAAUUAAUCGUAAAGCCCGCAGUGUCGCUACGGUAAUGCUAACGCACCUUCCUCUGAACUCUUCAUUAAAGCCUAUGUUCAUCUCCACCGAAUUCCAGGUGAUGUCAUGAUCCUGAAGUCUGACACCAGCUUGAGGCCUGUGGAGGACUUCACCGCUCAGAUCCAGACCCUGGAUAUUCCCGGUGAGAACAAGAUCGGCUACUCCCCCAUUGGCUUCGUGCGCUGCGGUCGCUCCGCCUGCCGCCUGCAGAAGAUUGACUGGAAGGUGGGCAAGGAGACUGGUGGCAAGAAGAUGGAGGAGCCCCACUCCCUGAAGGCCAACGAGAUGGCUCAGGUUGUGUUCAAGCCCUGCCAGCCCCUGAUUGUGGACUCCUUCAAGAACUGCGAGGGCCUCUCCCGCAUUGCCUUCCUGGAUGGCAACACCGCAGUGAUGCUUGGCAAGGUGGUGUCCACCAACAUGAAGGGUUAAGCUGCAGAUGAAGACAGCAGGAACGGUGCAGGCGGAUGCAGAGUUUGAGUGACUGAGUGUUCUGAUACGGUAUGGUUGGGGGCAUACGAGUGCAUGCCAACUUAUGAUACAGAGGAUAUGCGUAAUGUGUCCUUGCUGGUGGGACUGUGGUAUGUCGAAGAACUGGCGCUUGAGACAAUUGGAUUGGCCACCUGACAUGUGAGAGUAAAUUUUUUGGUAGAGCUUAGAUAUUGGGCAGUCUGUUCCACUCCUGAGGACCUGUUAUCCUACUUGAAGUCCCUGGCACGAGUACGCAUAACGGAAAGUAUCACCUGUAACCUGGAAAAGUGAUUAUUGAUGCAGGCUUGGGGCUUCCUGGUCUUUGGAGUUCCUCCUGCCUGCAGAAAGAUUUUGUAAGGUUCUGAAAGUGGGCAGGUUUCAAUUCCUUUUGGGAAAGUAUAACUGUGCCAGGUAACAGAUCAGAGGGUCCUAACUUGGCCACUUCAGGGGGGUUGCACAGGAAGCUUUCGAGCCCUCAUUCUUAAAUUUCUUGUGUGGUCCAUUUCUAAGCUUGAAAUGACACGACUAUGCAAAAGAAAGUUAUGGGAAUUGGCUUGCGCACACCUGUGUGUGCAAUGGUGCAAAAAGGGGUUGAGUGGUGAAAAAAUGAAAAUGUCCCCUUUAUCCAAUUUGUAAGAUCCCUGAUGUGUAAUAAUGGUACAGCUGACCUAACAUAAAAAUGGAGGCAUUUGGUGGUCUAGCUGGGUCAGGUUGGACAAGAAUGUUUGGGAGAUUAGGUAAAUGUAGGGUCCCACCCCUGUUUUCAUCGGGGACCACUUCCCAGGAGCCUUUCACAGUCCUUCAAGUAAAAGCUUUCUUAUACCGCAUUUAUGCCUGGUUUAUAUGGGAACAAAAAAUUUAGAACCAACAAAACCUGUGUCAUUUCCGCACUGUACGUCCAUGGUAUCCAGGUUCUGUGCAAAGUUUCAGGAAUUGUAAGUUGCACACUUGGAUUGGGACGCCCUGGUCACAGCAACUGGUCACAGCACAGGUUAGGCUGCUGAGGUUUUGGCCUUCAGCCAGGUGGUUUGAUUGAUGAAUCGGCUGGUCCCUGCCAGCCUCACAAAAAACGUCCGUUAUAUCAGAUAUGUAUAACUGGUUCAACUCUUGGCUAAAGGAAUGGGAAACGUCCUCAUUGCUAAGGGUACAAGGUUACAAUUGGGUUUAGACCUUAAGCCAGGUUGUUUGGCUGCUCGGCCUGAUGAACUGUUCCAUCCCAGUUCCAAAGAAUAAAUAUCCAUGAAAUUAGAAAUAAGACGAUAAUUCUCACGAGUUUGGGCCUGCAAGAAAUGAAAAGACAUCUUCAGAACUAGCCUGAGUGUAACAAAAAGUGCCUGUCUCACCCUGAAGAACUCAGUGAGCAGAGGGAACAUUACAAAAGAGAUAUUUAUAAAUCCGUUAUGAGAACACACAGGAGCGAGGAACAUAGGAACAAAGCAUGUUUUUCAUAUUGAUGUCCUCCUAGGUCGCAAUCACAAACUGAAGUUUGCUCCUGCCAAAGUGAUGUCUCAACUCUUAGGGCGUGUGCAUGCAAUUGAAAGCGUACAAUGUUUUUCAGCAUAUGCUUGCCUUAAUUAAGAUGCAAAUACCUAGGGACAGAGAAGGGCGCUCCAUGAGCAGCCAAAGGCUUCAAAGGGAGAGCCACCCAGUGAUGAUACUUGGCUAAUUUGUCCUCAUUGCUAACCUCAGAAUAGGAAAAACCAGAUGCACCAAGGGAAUUUCUUGUUUGUGGCGAAGCUUCGAAGAAAGAUGUGUAAAAUUCGAAUAGUACGCACACUUUCACAGUUGCAAAGUAAAAGAGAGUGUUUCUCGUCUUGCAGAUCAUUCAAGUCACACAGGCCACAAUGGCCAUUGUUCUCAGGCUGCCAACAAGCUCUUUCAAUUCCUAGAGUGUGAGCACGCAAUCUAAAUUGGGAGACAUUCCGGUGUACUCGCCUACUCAGAUCAAGAUCGAGAUAUCUAGGCACCUUGUACGGGCAAUCAGUAGCAUUCAAAGGUCCCAAAAGAGAAGCAAACCAACGAUGAUAGGAGGCCUGCUUAUGACAGUGCCCUCUUGGCUCAGCACCAUCUAAAUCGCCCCACACUUGACACAAACGGCUGCGCAAAUCAGUGGCAAAACCUUUGAUAUUCAUAGCUGCUCCUGCCAGCACAGCCUGUGGGUACUCUUCUCGUUUCUCCAGACCCCUGAAGGACUCCAAGAACUCAGCUGACCAACAUUUCACACCAGGCAUCACACUCAGUGCCUUGUCAGCCUUCAUCACUUUCCGAACAAGCUCAUUAUUUGAAUUGAGCAUGGCAUUAUAGAAACGCACAGCUGCCUGAAACCAGUAAAACUGCAGUGGCUCUUGACCACACUCGUGCAACACAGACCAAUUGCAAGUGGAACGCUCGACUCCAAGCACACGCUUCAGAAAAUCGAGAUGCCCAGUCUGAAGAGGGCAAUUCAUCUCAGCCCCUUCCUUCAUAUAACCUGUGCCCCAAAUUUGACACAGCACAGAAGGCUUACAGUCAAAACGACUGACUACAAGCCUGUAAAUAAGGAAAGGAAGAAAAGGUAAAAUGACGGAACAUCUCUUUUUCUGUUGAGCAGAAACACAAAAGCCUGCAACCAGACCUGUCUCAAAAAGACAGCAGUGCUCAAACUCGUGCUCAAAUUAAUGUACAAUUUUCAAAUGAACGUGGAAAAGAGGUUUGAGCUGAGAUAUGAAAUGUCAUCAGCUGGAGGAAUCAUGCAGUCACUCACAGCGUGAAAUAUACAUGUGAAGUCAAGCAUAGAAAUUCCAUUAGGUUGAAGGGUUAUGUUCCAGAAAAUGUACUCUCGUGACACCACAUGCUCAAAUCAAGAGGGGGUAUGGGGAUAAGCGACUUAGAACUGAAGUACGGAGUGUAUGCUAAUGUACUGAGAGGUGUACUGGCACAGGCUAUCCUAGGUUGCAUGCAGCAUUCAUAGACUUCAAGCACAGACACAACACCUGAGGAAGCAUAUGGGCUCAUCUGCAACGCAUAUGCAUGCCAACAUUCCUCCUGGACAUUUCGAGGAACCUUUACGAAAUGAUGAAUAUGUGCUGGUGGAUGGAUGUAAGAGAGCCCAGACAAGGGGUCAAACAAAGUUGCCCAUUGCCUCCUCUGCCGUUUUCCUUACAUAUUAAUGAUGUUGACUGCCUGGCAGACAAUGUUUUAGACGCAGUUACAGGUGCUAGUGAUAUUCGAGUGACAAAAAAAAGUCUACGCAAGUCAAAGGCCGCGUGCAUUAAGGGAAGAACCUCUAAUAAAAGUUAGAGGCCUCACCAGGAGGCCCUCCACCUAAACUAGACAAAACGAGCCUAGGAGAGAGCAAGAGACAGAACUAAUGGGGAUCCAGGGGAUUGCUUGCCAUGCCCCUGAGUGCUCGGACUCUCCUUCAUCCUCAGCCGCCGCCGUGCUCCAGCAAACCCCCUCCCAGAUGCUCCUGGGCGCUGCUUUUGCUUGAGUGACACAUGCUGAAUGCAGACAGUCUCUGCCUUAUUGCCAACGAUCCUCAUGAGUUUCCAGCUCAUGCCGAACAGAUUGCAUGGGUAUGCACCGAGGAAAGGAUUAAUUAUUAAUGUUAUAAAGUCAGAAGUGGUGCACUUUAAUUCUAAGGGAGCUCAUGUUCCCACUUUCAAGCUUGGUGGAGAGCAGCUGGUUCAUUCUGACUCAUUCAAGUAUUUGGAUAAGCUGUUCGCGAAAGAACUUAAACCCCUUGCCUCUUCUGAAUAUAUGGGUGCAUCUUUUUUGGCUGGAUGUUGCCGUGUUAGGCAGAUUGCAUGUGAUUACGAGAUAGCAGAAAGACCUAAUACUGUAUUAUGGCUUACCAACGCAUAUGCACUUCCAGCAUGUAUGUGUGCCAGCCAAUUUGGGGCUCACGGUUCAUAAGACCAGGAGCCGAGAUGGCCUGCCCAUUGCAGACUGUGCACCUGCGUCUGUUGAAGCACAUCUUUGGAGUAAAACGGACUACACCAAGCUGGUCUCAGAUUGUGCUGCGUGAAUGCAGGUUUGAACCAUUGCAACUCUAUUGGUUUCGGGCUGCUGUCAGGUUUCGUAAUGCCUCCCUUGCCUGCAACAGCACAACUUUGCGUAGGGUGCUUGGAGCGGGUAUUGACAUGAGCAACGUUUCUAAAGAGUUAUGGGCAUCAAAGUUCAUAUCUGCCUUUGAGGGUGAACCUGGCGUGGCUCAGUCGCGUCGCUCCUACGGGAUUGCGGUAGAGGAGGUCGUGGGUUCGUUCCUGGUGAGGGCAUCUCGGCAUAGGCUGAGAUGUUCUCUUCGGGUCUAACUGGUGAGGGCGCUCUGGUAUAGGCUGGAGUGUCCUUUCCUUAAUGCAUGCUCUGUGACCCUUGAGGUAGAGCGUAGAAAUUUCAAAUUUCAAAUUUCAAAUUUGAGAGAUUGGACAGACGCAACUACAUCACACAAUGUAUGUACUCGGGCCAGUCUAUUGGGUUAAAAGAUUCCGUGGUUGAUUUGCGGAAGAGGCACAGGCGUGUGUGGCCAACUGAGGAUCAAGCUGAACAUGGUGCUCAUCUGAACAAGUUAGCCAAGCACCACAACUGGAUAGCACUUCCCUUCCGACAUAAUUCUGUUUUUGGCAAACCUCUCCACAAUCCUAGGUAUCUUUUUCUUGAUUUGGAUAAGCAUGUACAGAGAAACAUUGCUUGCUUCAGACUGCAUGCUCACAACCUCAGAGUUGAAACUUUGCAUUGACAAGGAUGUGCUCAUUGUGAUCUGUGUGAAUCUGGACAAUUGCAAGACGAGAGACAUGUCAUCUUUGUUUGCCCUUGCCCUUCCUUGCACACAUGUUGCCUUCAAGCAAGUAUGCUCGUCUUUUUGAUAAUUCCUUGACCAGGUGUUGGAAAACACUGGUCAUUUCUUGUUCUCUCAUGCUCGAUCUCAGGAUGUUUCCUGUUUCUAUCAGAACCAAGAAACUCAGACUUAUCGAUUUAUCUCUCAUGUUUUUUUUCAACACAUCGAGCAGCCAAACUACCUGGCUGAAGGUCUGGGCUUCUGUGCUGCUUUUCCUCUUGGUCUGGUGGGACUCACUCUCAGUUUCAGCGCUGACUGCUGGGUCUUUGCUUCAUGCACGCUGGCUGUACCCAGUGUAGACUUUUUUCCAAGGUUACAAGGUUACAAAGUAAGUUUAGCCUUCAACCACGAAGUCCGGCUGUUCAGCUUUCCUUAGAAAACCAAGUGAACGCAGGUAAGGUAGUCUAACGCACAGGCAGGGGAAAAGGACGCAAGAAAAAAGCAGACAUGUAACAAGUUAGGUGUAAAAAAGAAACAUGGCAAAGAUUUUCUUUCUUUCUUCCUGCAGGAAUCUUUGUACAGAUCUGUCCACUGGGAAGUGAAAUUGUUAGCAUGCCGUCUAAGCAUUCAAUUGGUCUUUCCAUGUUCACCCGGAAACGGAAGUAACAUGUCCGUUAACAUGCUGUUUUAGAAGAGCGUGCAAAUAUAUCUUUGUUAUACAGCUUGCCAAGGAAGUCACAGCCUUUGAACCAAAAAGUUUUCCUGGUUGGAAAAUUAUGAGAAGCAGGUGUAUUCCGUGUACUAGAUUUGUGGUGUGUUCAUGCAAAAUGGCCGUGUGGUGGCUUAUACCAGCGCCAAGUACAGUUCUGCUGAAUUCAAUUAUAUCACUGGUGAGCAAGAGCUGUUGGCACUUUAUCGUGCGCUCAAGGCAUGGCGCUGUUAUUUGCUACUUGGAAGGGUCCACAGAGACCAAACUUCUGACAGAUCACCACCCACUCAUUUUCCUGCAGACACAGCCACUUCUGUCUUGCCGCCAGGCUUGUUGGAUGCAAUUUUUCUCCAGGUUUCCAUUUGUCAUCAAUUACAACACUGGCAAAAACAAUGUAGCUGACGCGCUGAGCCAAUCCUGAUCCUAAUCCCAUCUUGCUCAGUACAAGGCCAGUGCUGCGUAUCUGAUUUUACCAGCGGUCUCUGCUGUGACCACACGCAGCCAAGCUGCUCAGCAACCAGCUUUACCUGACCCACAGCAAGGUGUGGAGGAGAGAGGUCACAGUUUGAUACGCCACCAUGUGCGCAUGUUUUCUGGCUCCCAUCUUGCUGAUUUCCUGCUCAGUGAGAUCAAGGUGGGCUACCUCCUUGAUCCUCGCUUUGAGAACCCAAAGUUCGCCAAGGCCUUUGAGUGCGAUGAGCAUGGCCUUUGGAGAUUUCAGGGCAGGGUUGUCCUCCCAGGAGAUCCUCGGACACGUGUGCUUGAAGCAUACCAUGACUCACCCAUGUGUGGGCAUGUUGGUGUCACCAAGACCCUUAAGGUUCAAGCUUGAACUGUCUCGAGACUUUUGGUGGCAAGGUCUGAGGAAAAGAAAAGGAAAAAAAAAGGUCUGGGGCAAGGUCUGAGGUCUGAUGUUGAGCACCAUGUGCGGCUUUGUGAUGAGUGCCAACGCAACAAGGCGAGCAAUCUAAAGCGCUGGCAAGCUCCAGCCUCUUCCUGUCCCUAGGAGGCGAUGGUUUCUGGUCUGCCCAGGACCGCACGCUGCAACAAUCAAUUCUGGUCUUUGUGGGCAGAUUGUCCAAGAUGGCACACCUGGUUGCCACUUCUGAGAAUUUAGGGGCUAGGACCUUUGCUGACCCGUUCUUUCAGAAUGUGGUCCACCUUCAUGGCCGGCCAGGUGAACUGGUCUCAGACAGAGGGCCUCAGGUUAAUAACAAUAUCUGGAGGGCAGUUUGAGCUGACUGGCAUGAAUCGCUGCCUCUCCAGUGCUUAUCAACCCCAAUCAGAUGGGCAGACGGAAAGGACCAUCAGGACCAUUGUAGAGAUACUCAGGUCCUAUGUCAAACCAGACCAUUUUGACUGGGAUCGCUGGCUGCCAUGGGUGGGAUUUGCAUACAACAAUCCUUGGCAUGGAGCCAUUCGGAACACACCUUUUUCAUGUCAAUGUCGGUCAGCACCCUCUGCUUCCAGCCUCUUUGAACAAGCCUCAAAAGGUUCCUGAGACUCACAACUUUGUUGAGGACAUCAAGGAGGCUGAGCGAGAUGCUAAGCGCUGUCUGGAUGCUGCAAGGUAGCGCAUGUGCACCCAAGUAGACCAGGACAGGCGCGAUGUCUCCUUCAAUGCUGGAGAUUUGGUUUUGCUGAGCACACGCAACAAUUGUUCCUCUGGGUCUAAGAAACUGCUUCCUAAGUGGAUGGGUCCUUUCAGAGUUGAAGAAAUGGUUGGACCUGUUGCUGUUCGCCUACAGCUGCCACCUCAAUGGUCAUGCAUUCAACGUCUCCCAUGUUCAUCUGGUCAAGCGAUAUUUGUCUCGAGAGGAGCGGCCCAAUGGCCUUGGUUCCACACCUCCUCCGCCUGUUUCUUGGCUUGAGGGUGAGCCUCUCUACGAGGUUUAAGCAUUGCUGGGCCAUAGAGUCAUGAAGCGUGGCCGGCGCCAAGUCCUUGAAUUUUUGGUGCGCUGGAAGGGCUAUUCCAGUGAGCAUGACACAUGGGAACCCAGAGAGAACCUGUUGUCAUGCAACAGUUUGGUUAGGCAAUACAAGUCCUCUGUAGGACUUCCAAUUUUGCCUGAGGAUCGGGCAGAAAAUGACAGCUUAGUUAUAGUUGGCCCAUGGGCUCUGAGCGUUUCCAAGCACGAGUCUGUACACUGAAAGACGGGCAGGGCGAAUCACCUUCGACUCUUUCUUUGGUAGUUUCUUCCCUCUUUUCACCUCAGGAGUGAUCCAGGAUUUCAAAAUGUAAUAAGGAUGGUCAACGUCAUUAGUUGGAUAUGGUGGCAAAAUAGUGUCACACACACCUCCUGCUUGUUUGCGAAGAACUCUGCAAAAGUGAUUGCUUUCAUGUUACGAAUAAUGACUACACCAUGUGCAUUUGUCAUGGAGCGGGCACUAAGGAAGGCAUUGCCCCCACCAAAUUGAACCCACGACCUCCUCGUUCUCUUGAUAGAGGGAUGAAACUAAGUCACACCAGAUUCCCGCCUGUGUUGCCUGUCAUUGGCUGCUACACUAAUACAAACUCCUGAUGCGGACCAGGAGUAAGAUAAUUGGUCGAGGAAGGGCGUAAACGCUUUUUAACACGUGCCGUGGCUUCUCUUUCUUUUGCUCUGAAUUAGUGGGGCUCACUCUCAGCUUCAGCUCGGUCUUUCAAAGGUUAAGGAAGUUCCUUAAUACGCGCUGGCUUUCGCCCAAUGUAGACUUUUUCUUAUUCAUUUUUUCAUAAGUAUGCACAUAAGUCUCAUAGGGGGGCAGCUGGCCAAUUUGCCAGACAUGCUCUUUCAAAACCUUUUUUCUUAAAUCUAGCCGUGGCAACCAUUUUUAUUCCAUAAAAUAUCACGUUCACCAAAAAUUCAUAAUAAUUGAAGGCUCCCAGAUCACUCUCCUGGCCCCAGAUCAUCCCAAAACGGCCCACACCUCCACUCUGAGGCCAUUUGUCACCCCCAAAAAAUGUUUGUUAUAUCCCUUAUAUGAUAUGCUAACAUCCUGCGUAUUCAAAAAUGGAAAGAAGUAGGCCAAAUUUUGACCUUUUUGACACCCCCUAGCCUAGGCAAGUUUUUUCUCCUAGGGGAAUGGCUAAAAUUCUGAAUCUCACCAACCACUGGGUCUUUUCGCUCCAUUGUUUUUGCUAUGAUAUAAUUUUGUUACAAGGACUCUAAAUCACUAAAAAUCACCCAAUUUCGUGCAGUGGGUGGUCAGGUAUGGAGUUUUGGUGCCAAAAACUAGGGUUCACGCCGCAGCUGAUUUGGCACGGUCUCCCCAAGUGGGUAAAAAUUUACUUCAGUGUUUUAGACAGGAGCAUGCCAAAAUCACCUAAUUUUGGGCCUCAGCUUCCCCAUUAUGCAAAAGUCUGGCAUUUGUGCUCUCUUUCUAGAUAACACAGACCUUGGCAGCGUUGCAGUAGUUUUUCAUGUCACUGAUUCUGUGCCCAAUGCUGAGACUACUCCUCCUGAGCAUGUUUGUGAGAUGGGACAUUGUUGGAGCAAAAUGAGUUUGGUAUGGAAAAAUGAGCUGCAAUGAUAUCAUGUAUAGACUCUAAACCGGAUUGUACGCCAACAUUCUUUGAAAAGUAGUUCCAAGGUGGUUUAGAGAGAAGAACAAGGUUCCAGAUCUAGUUUGGCAGUUUGGCUUCUCUCCAAGCCAAAAUACUCUGCAGCCCACUUGUAUCUCACUACAUUUUCAGCAUGCAACAAAUAUUGAGCGUCCGUACGCAUCUUUUAGGUUACAUGCAGCAUUUAUUGGUUUUAAAAUGAUACAAGACCUAAAAGCAUGACGGGCCAUCUUCAAUGCAUUUGCAUGCCCCCGUGGGCAGGCACAGCUAUGUAACCUUUUCCAUUCCUUUCCUUUCCUUUUCUUGAAAGCAACGAGUAUAGUUUGGCUGUCUGUUGUCCCCCCACGUCAAUGAUGUGGACAGCUCAGCAACCAACGUGCAGGGGGCAGUCAUAGGUGCAAGCGAGCUCCAAGUCUCACAGAUACUGUAUGCAGAUGACCUUCGUCUCACGGCCAGUCGUCCUGACCAGCUACAGCUAAUGCUUGAUAGGUUGUAUGGAUAUGCCCAGAGAAAGGGAUUAAUUUUUAAGAAGUCAGAGUCUGAGAUGGUGAAUUUUAAUUCAAAGGGCAAAAUGUACCCACUUUAACUUGCACAAGCCACCUCCACACAAUCUUCCUAAUCUCAUCACCUGCAUUAUGCAACCUCUGCUGAAUAUGGGAAUCAGUGGGCUACAUGAGCUUACAUCUCCACGCAAAACUCACAUCAUCUCAGUUUCUCAACUUCAGGCUAAACACCCCAAGUUGAACAACAAAUGCAAAAUUGCACUUAACAGGCCGGCAGCUCUUGUCAACCUUGCUCCACAACAAGGACUGAACACAUCCUCUAUCCAAAAGAUCAUUGCCUACAAAAGCACUGAAGCUAACACCCUCCCAGUUUACCGUAGUAUCAACAACACACAUAUGAGCGGCCUUACCAACAUGAGCACGGGUGGGGAACAGCCCCCCCACACCCAGGUUUUCCAACCAACAAGCCCCCAACCCAACUUUAUCCCCCCCAUUCAAGCAGUGCCAUCGCCACAGCCUCGCUCCACAUCUUACUACACCCAUGAACACACCGGACGCCGCCUCAGACGUACAGCCAAUCAUCCUACACCCAUCAGUUGUCCUGAAACACAACAAGUUGUUCACGUCAUGGAAGUACAAUCUUUGGAGGAGCCACUCAGCAAAAGAACUCGCUCCUGUUCUACAUCAAGCAUCACUCCCACACAAGCACUUCACCCCUCUGAAUGCGUACCCACUGCAAGCCUGGAUACUCUGGCUCCUGCUGAACAAGGUACUACUACAGAAGGGCCCCCAAGCAAACGCACACAAUCAGCAUUGAGAAGUAUCCCCUCUUCCAUAUCCCAACUCAGCCAGGCUAGCCCAAAUGAUAGAUGCGCACAUGCUUGUCUGAGCACUGCUCACCAUAUCACCACACAACUUGACUCCCCUAGCACAAACCACCAACAGCAGACAGAUGACUGUCUCGACCCUCAGUCACAACCUCACGCUCCGCUCAGCCCAGGUAUUCAAACAAACAGAACCGGAAAGAAGAGGCAACAAUUGCUCCGCAUGGACAGAGAGAUCAUUUCCCCAGCCAUCCACUCUCUAAGCUCCCUUUCCCAAGGUCCGAAAGUCUGGAACUAUAGGAAAAACACAGCUGAGAAACUUGCUGAAGAGACUACUGCUAGCCAUGCUAUCAGUUCUAUCUUCUAUCUCUUCCUUAAUUGAUGUAGGGAGAGUUUCUCUGCCUCCGUAGUUUUUCUUUUUUUCUUUUUUUUUCAGAACCACAAUAAACUUUAUCCUCGUCUCCAUGAGCUCCUUUUUUAUGAACAGGCUAGCAGUUAGUCGUUUGGACUGGGGGCCUUCUUGAACCUGUAACCAGUCACCUAUUUGUUGGGUGCUCACGAACCUGGAGGUCCUGAAAAGCAAGACAACCUGUGCUGCCAAUGUCCAUGGAGGCAAGGCCUGCACCAAGAGGGCCUUUGCUGAUACCUUCAAGGAGG